GUAAAAUAUCUAGGAGUAGUUUGUUACAGCGUAAAACAUGUCACUUCCUGUUGCCAGCAGGUGGCGCUAUAGCGAUAUCUGAAUAUUGGCAUGUAGAUAUAUUCAGGUCAGGAGUCUUCUCAAACAUGUGAAGUUUGGGGCAGAUUGGACAUUGUAUGUCUGAGUUAUAGCAACUUCCUUUCUCAUGGCGAAACAUCGAAAUUUGUAAGGCCGCCACAGACACGCCCUUAAACGAAACCUCAAGAUCUUCGCAAUUUAACAUCGCAAAGGCCUUUAGAUUACACAGACAAAGUUUGGUGUUGAUCUGAAUAAAUCUCUAGGAGGAGUUCGUUAAAGUACAACCCCUGAAAAUGGCAAAAACGACACAAAUUUUGCAGAGAAAAUUCAAAAUAACUGACUUCCUGUUGGGAUUCGAAUUUCGAACAAAGAGACUUUUUUGUAGGUAUUGGUGUGUUACAUGUGUGUACCGAUUUUUGUACAUGUGCGUGAAACGUAGCUCGAGGCGCACUCCGUUGAAAAUGUAUAGGUGGCGCUAUCGAGGCAUUUUGCCACACCCAAUGGAAUAUUGGCCUUCAGAUUUGUUCAGGCCAGGACUCUUAUCGAACAUGUGAAGUUUGGGCAAGAUCGGACAUUUUAUGCCUGAGUUACAAUAACUUUUAUUCCCAUGGCGAGACAUCGAACUUUGUGAUGGCGCCAUGGACACGCCCUUUAACGAAAACUCAAGAUCUUCACAAUUUAACAUCGCACAGGCCU
ensembl:lncRNA